rnacentral:rRNA from 1 species
GACGAACGCUGGCGGCGUGCUUAACACAUGCAAGUCGAACGGAAAGGCCCUGCUUGCAGGGUACUUGAGUGGCGAACGGGUGAGUAACACGUGGGUGAGCUGCCCUGCUCUUGGGGAUAAGCCUCGGAAACUGGGUCUAAUACCGGAUACGAGCCAUCUUUAGUGUGAUGGUUGGAAAGUUUUUUCGUGGUAGGAUGAGCUCGCGGCCUAUCAGCUUGUUGGUGGGGUAGUGGCCUACCAAGACGACGGGGGGUAGCCGGCCUGGGGGGGUGGACGGCCACAUUGGGACUGAGGGACGGCCCAGACGCCUACGGGAGGCAGAAGGGGGGAAGAUUGAACAAUGGGCGCAAGCCGGAUGCAGAGAGGCCGCGGGGGGGAUGACGGCCUUCGGGUUGCCAACUCCUUUAGCUAGGGACGAAGCUUUUUGUGACGUUACCUAGAUAAGAAGCACCGGCUAACUACGUG